rnacentral:lncRNA from 1 species
UUCUUGCAUGGACAGCCUCUAAUUUGGCCCCUGCAUGCAAGAACAUUAUUAUGCUAGCCCACAUGUUAGAAUAUACAAUUAAUUAAUCCACUGGGGCACUGGGCGAAUGUUGUGAAUUUCUAGGAUCAUGCCAUGUGCUUUCAUCAAAUCUCGAUUUACCUAAUCCCUUGCUUGGUCAAAACACUCUCUUUGUCUUGAGCUU